rnacentral:rRNA from 1 species
CUGACACAGGGAGGUAGUGACAAAAAAUAACAAUGCCGGGCGUUUUCACGUCUGGCAAUUGGAAUGAGAGCGAUUUAAAUCCCCCAUCGAGGAUCAAUUGGAGGGCAAGUCUGGUGCCAGCAGCCGCGGUAAUUCCAGCUCCAAUAGCGUAUAUUAAAGUUGUUGCAGUUAAAAAGCUCGUAGUUGGAUUUCUGGCGUCGCCGCCCGGUCGGCCUCGAAAGGGGUUCGCACUCGUUGGCGCGCGUCGCCAUCCUCGGGGGAAGGCCGCCUGGCAUUAAGUUGUCGGGCGGUCGACGCUCGUCGUUUACUGUGAACAAAUUAGAGUGUUCAAAGCAGGCUUAGGCCGUUGAAUACAUUAGCAUGGAAUAAUGAGAUAGGACUUUGGUGGUCUAUUUUGUUGGUUUGCACGCCGAAGUAAUGAUUAAUAGGGGCGUUGGGGGUAUUCGUAUUCAAUUGUCAGAGGUGAAAUUCUUGGAUUUAUGGAAGACGAACUACUGCGAAAGCAUUUACCAAGGAUGUU